AUGGCUCAGGAUGAACGCUAGCUACAGGCUUAACACAUGCAAGUCGAGGGGCGGCAUGAGAUUAGCUUGCUAAUCUUGAUGGCGACCGGCGCACGGGUGAGUAACGCGUAUCCAACCUUCCCCCUACUCAGGCAUAGCCCGGUGAAAACCGGAUUAACUCCUGAUAGUUUCACUAGAUGGCAUCUGACGGUGAAUAAAGCUUUGCGGUAAGGGAUGGGGAUGCGUCUGAUUAGCUUGUUGGCGGGUAACGGCCCACCAAGGCGACGAUCAGUAGGGGUUCUGAGAGGAAGGUCCCCCACAUUGGAACUGAGACACGGUCCAAACUCCUACGGGAGGCAGCAGUGAGGAAUAUUGGUCAAUGGGCGCGAGCCUGAACCAGCCAAGUAGCGUGCAAGGAAGACGGCCCUAUGGGUUGUAAACUGCUUUUGUGCGGGAAUAAAGUCAGGGACGUGUCCCUGUUUGCAUGUACCGCAAGAAUAAGGACCGGCUAAUUCCGUGCCAGCAGCUGC
rnacentral:rRNA from 1 species